UACGUAGGGUGCAAGCGUUGUCCGGAAUUAUUGGGCGUAAAGAGCUCGUAGGCGGUUUGUCGCGUCUGCUGUGAAAACUCGGGGCUUAACUCCGGGCCUGCAGUGGGUACGGGCAGACUAGAGUGCGGUAGGGGAGACUGGAAUUCCUGGUGUAGCGGUGAAAUGCGCAGAUAUCAGGAGGAACACCGGUGGCGAAGGCAGCUCGCUGGGACGUUACUGACGCUGAGACGCGAAAGCGUGGGGAGCAAACAGG
rnacentral:rRNA from 1 species